GUCACUGCUAUUGGGAUUCGACUAAGCCAUGCGAGUCGAGAGGGUUCGGCCCUCGGCGAACUGCUCAGUAACACGUGGAUAAUUUGCCCUUAGGUGGAGGAUAACCUCGGGAAACUGAGAAUAAUACUCCAUAGAUCUAGGAUGCUGGAAUGCACUUAGAUUAAAAGCUCCGGCGCCUAAGGAUAAGUCUGCGGACUAUCAGGUUGUAGUCAGGGUAAAGACCUGACUAGCCUACAACGGAUACGGGUUGUGAGAGCAAUAACCCGGAGACGAUAUCUGAGACACGAUAUCGGGCCCUACGGGGCGCAGCAGGCGCGAAACCUUCGCACUGUGCGAAAGCGCGAUGAGGGGAUCCCAAGUGCUUGCUCGUAAGAGUAAGCUGUUUUUAUGUCUAAAAAGCAUAGAGAGUAAGGGCUGGGUAAGACGGGUGCCAGCCGCCGCGGUAAUACCUGCAGCUCAAGUGGUGAUCAUUAUUAUUGGGCCUAAAACGUCCGUAGCCGGUUUGGUAAAUGCCUGGGUAAAUCGUGUAGCUUAACUAUACGAAUUCCGGGUAGACUGCCAAACUUGAGACCGGGAGAGGCUAGAGGUACUCCUGGGGUAGAGGUGAAAUUCUGUAAUCCUAGGGGGACCACCAGUGGCGAAGGCGUCUAGCUAGAACGGGUCUGACGGUCAGGGACGAAGCCCUGGGGCGCGAACCGGAUUAGAUACCCGGGUAGUCCAGGGUGUAAACGCUGCUUGCUUGAUGUUAGUUGGGCUUC
rnacentral:rRNA from 1 species